rnacentral:rRNA from 1 species
AUGAACGCUGGCGGCGUGCCUAAUACCUGCAAGUCGAGCGAACAGACGAGGAGCUUGCUCCUCUGACGUUAGCGGCGGACGGGUGAGUAACACGUGGAUAACCUACCUAUAAGACUGGGAUAACUUCGGGAAACCGGAGCUAAUACCGGAUAAUAUAUUGAACCGCAUGGUUCAAUAGUGAAAGACGGUUUUGCUGUCACUUAUAGAUGGAUCCGCGCCGCAUUAGCUAGUUGGUAAGGUAACGGCUUACCAAGGCAACGAUGCGUAGCCGACCUGAGAGGGUGAUCGGCCACACUGGAACUGAGACACGGUCCAGACUCCUACGGGAGGCAGCAGUAGGGAAUCUUCCGCAAUGGGCGAAAGACUGAAGGAGCAACGCAGCGUGAGUGAUGAAGGUCUUCGGAUCGUAAAACUCUGUUAUUAGGGAAGAACAAAUGUGUAAGUAACUAUGCACGUCUUGACGGUACCUAAUCAGAAAGCCACGGCUAACUACGUG